rnacentral:lncRNA from 1 species
CUUCCAUUAGCACUGUGUGUCAUUAGCAUAUCACAUGUUACAGUCUCCUUAAUCCAGUGUGAGGAGUCCCUCCAUCCAGUUCUCGGCAAACCUUUGUUUCUUGUUUUAGAAGGAACACUAUAAGCCAUAAAGGCAAUCCCAUAGUCAUAAUCUCUCUAGUAGGCUCUGUAGUUUUCAAAGUUUGAAAUUUACUUAACUUUUUUUUGCAUGCUUGUAUUUGAAAACAUGAAGGAGAUACCAGACUGUAAUCAUCAGUGUGUCUUGGGUACAGGAGAUACCUGACUUGCCCCAGUAUUCACACUGGGCUUGUAAAAGUACCUGUGAUUAAAAUACUUAUAAGCCUUUUUGAAGAAAUAAUGUUGUCUAACUAUAUAGUAGGGGACGCUAAGUGAGAUAAACACUGAGUCUCAUAGAGCGAUUGUAUCAAGAGGAGAUUUUCUGUGAAAUGAAUUUACUUGGGGGUCAAAAUGCUCACAUAUUUUAAAGAAAGCAAGUACUUGUUUGAAACAGUACAGCCCCUCUGUUGAGAUUCAUGUGGCUGGUUACAUGCAAACCAAAGGCACAACUAUGAGUUUGGGUGGAGAAAUCUCCAUUUCUUUUUUCCUUCACUGGUCUUUAAAAAUUAUGUUUUUCUAGUGGCUAGAAGGACAAGUCAGAAAUAGUUAAAUUCUGGCUUGGAAACUCAUGAGAAUUAAUGAUCUGUAGACCAAUUUUUUAUCCUAAAACGUCAUGCUUGAUCCCCAACUUCUUAUGGGACUGCUCUUCAGGGCGAUUUCUUGUUUUUCUUUCUUCAGUGUGUACAUGUGCCCUGAGGCUGUUUGUAAUGGGAGAAUUUCAUAAAAUUCAUAAAUUUAAAACACCCCACACAUCCAAAAUUCUUCCUGAAUGUGUCAUUUUCAAGUUAUUUUCACCAAAUCACAUAAAAUAAAGCAGCACUAUGGUCACCUCUUUUUAAUAUUAUCCCUUAUAUUUAAUUUUAUUGGUCUUUCCUCAUAUACUAGGUACCAUCAUGAAUAAAGCAAAUUACAUUGACCACCUGGGUUUAAAUGGCCAGCUUCCAUCUUUUGGUGUUAUUUCUUUGAAAUAAAAUGUAUCUCACAUUUAAUUUGGGAGUAAGAAAACAUAACAUAAAGAAAUAAUGCAAACUUCAAUGCCAUGGGGGGUGUGGCUUACAUGUGUGCCUUAAAACGUGUUUAUAUAUAAGAGGAAUUAACUUGCUUUGUGUAUAAAAGAGCUAUAGUUCUUCAAAGAGCGGGCAUCUGAUCCCAGAACUGAGUUCACUGAGAUUAAAUUGUGCUCUGGGAAUUGAAGGUGUCCUCAGACCCUGGAAAUCCAAAAUGCAAAUGAAGAAGAAAUCAGGAGGUGUAAACACUGAAGGGAAUGAAUGUUUUCUGAAAUCCAGGCAGAAGGGUGUCAAGUAUCUCAGGCUAACCUCAAAUUUGUUAUGUAUCUGGGGAUGACUGCUCUGCCUCUGCCUCUGCCUCCUGAGUGCUGGAAUUGCAGGGAUGUACCACUAUACCUAGAAGAUGCGGUCCUGGGAAUUGAACUCGGAGUUUUGAAUAUGAUAGGUACAACUGCUUCUAAGUCUCUGGAAGGUUCCAGUGUCCCAGGAGUUCCACAUGCACUCUAAGAUGAUUAUACCACUUUGCUACCAGCUUGCAGUAUUUUCAGUGCUGCAGAAAAGAGUUGCUGCACGAUGAGGAUUUCUGGCGAUGAGAAGCAGAGCUCAUCACUGGCAGGUUAGAUUCUGAAUCAUGGCCUACUAACUAAACCCCGGAGUGCCACACCUUGGAAACACAGAAGACAGAAGUCUCAGUGCGUCAUUUUUCUAGUUGCUUUCAAGGUAUCAUUAAGUGCUGCCUAAGAGUACCCUUCUAGUGCAAAAUGUGUUGUUCAGGAUUCUGUCCAGAUGCUGUUGGGCUGCUUCAAGGAGACUUCAAAUGGUCCUACUAGUGAGCCACCUUAUCGACCUUCACUCUGACAUUUGGCUUGGCUGCGUUUGAAGUGGUCCCAUGAGUGAGUCAUCUUACCGACCUUCACUUUGCCAUUUGGCUCGACUGCAUAUCAGAUGUUGUUGAAACCAAAACUAGUGGAUCCCUCUUCUUUCCAGGGAAGACUACAUUUUAGAAAUCUCCACAAUUACAACUUUAAACUGAAGCCAGAAAAUACAUUUUUUUGAAACUAAUCAGUCAGCAGAUCACCUGUCAUCCAACUGUGUGCCAUAUACAUAUAAUUUCAAGAAACAUUGGCCAUCAAGUACUUAAAAUUUUAGGGAUUUGGGCAACACCCAAUGCAGAACAGAUGAAUUUCAUGGUUUCUUUAUGCAUUUGCACAAAUUAAAAUAUAAGUCUUCACUUGGUUCGUUUGAACCCCUUUCUUCAAUUAGCUCUGUAUGCAGAGAAGGCCAGACAGCAGUUUUCAGAGAGCAAUCAAGAUUCUUCUGCAUGUUGUUACCUCUGUGUGUGAACGCCACUCUGACAGGGCAAAUUCUUGGAUUAAAAGUUGAUUGUACUCUAGCAGUUCUUCUUAUAACUGGUUUUGUAAACACAAAUGUUCAAAAUCACAAAAACUCUUUUCAAACAGUUAUUUUCUUUUCAGAUACAAGAACAGUAGGUAUAAGCUUCCCAAAGGUAGAUCUUACAUCCAAAUAAUACGUGUGUGUGUGUGUGUGUGUGUGUGUGUGUGUGUGUGUGUAUGCGUGUAUGCGUGUAUGCUUGUGUGUAUGUAUGUAUGUAUGUAUGUAUGUAUGUAUGUACGUAUGUAUGUAUGUAUGUAUGUGUGUGUGUUUAUGGAGCUAUAGGUUG